CCUACGGGGGGCAGCAGUUGGGAAUAUUGGACAAUGGGGGCAACCCUGAUCCAGCCAUGCCGCGUGUGUGAAGAAGGCCCUCGGGGUGUAAAGCACUUUCAGUGAGGAAGAACGCCUGGUGGUUAAUACCCAUCAGGAAAGACAUCACUCACAGAAGAAGCACCGGCUAACUCCGUGCCAGCAGCCGGGUAAUACGGAGGGUGCGAGCGUUAAUCGGAAUUACUGGGCGUAAAGCGCGCGUAGGUGGCUUGAUAAGCCGGUUGUGAAAGCCCCGGGCUCAACCUGGGAACGGCAUCCGGAACUGUCAAGCUAGAGUGCAGGAGAGGAAGGUAGAAUUCCCGGUGUAGAGGUGAAAUGCGUAGAGAUCGGGAGGAAUACCAGUGGCGAAGGCGGCCUUCUGGACUGACACUGACACUGAGGUGCGAAAGCGUGGGUAGCAAACAGGAUUAGAUACCCUAGUAGUC
rnacentral:rRNA from 1 species